GCCCUGGGUUUUGUGUUCGGGAAUGUUCCGUCCAAGAGAAGCUCAGAGGGGCCAGGGUUUUUCCAAGUCUGACUGUCCCGUGAAUGCUAACCUGCUAACCGUACAGCAGAUAGCCAGUGCCGAGUGAGUGCUCUCUUCCCUUUUAGUACAAAUUCCCACGACAGUCCCACCAGGUUGCUUUUUGUUUCUUUAAGAGGAAGGAGCAGGUUCUGAGCCAUCGAGGGACUUACCAGAGGCCACACAGUUGUUAGGAUAAGUGUCGCUCGGCAUUUGACCCCCCAGUCGAAUGCUCUUCCCUUGAUGAAAGUCACACAUUGUCGUGGGGAAGUCGAGGUCCAAGGAGCGUCCAGCGCACAUGAGUCUCCCGCCCAGGAGCCCCGCAGCCCUGUCCUGUCACCCGAGGGUUUCUUGUGCAGAGGACACAACACACGAGUUCUCGUCUUGUUGGUUCUGUGCCGGUGGCGUGGGGCUGCGGGCUCCUCCUCCAGGAAUACAAAGGGCCUAGAGCAGAGGUGGUUUUUUUAAACGGUUUCGAUGACAUGACAUAAUGUGACGUGUCACAUUAACCACUUGUAAGCGUACGGGUUGCUGGCGGUAGAUAGAUUCCAAAUGCCCGUCCCCAUGACCACCGUCUGUGCCCAGACUUUCUCAUCAUCCCGAACAAACUGUCCCUUCAGCAGUCCCCUCUCAGCAGCUGCUGAGAGACGUUCUGCUGUGUGCACAGACCACUUUGGCUUGUCCGUUUGUCCACUGGAGGGCCCGCCGGCCACUGCUGCAGCCCUUCCUUGGCGCUCUGUAGGGACUCCACCCGGAAGCGGGGCCGCCGCGUCUUGGGGUGUUAGCUGGGUUUCAGUCGGGGAGGAGCCGCCGCACCGUCUUCCGGCCCAGCUGCACCAGUUGGCGCUCCGCUUGCAGCGUGUGAGGGCUCCCGUUCUCCACGUUCUCGUUCACACGUAUCUUCCGUGGCUUCGAUGACAGCCAUCCCAGGGGUGCGAAGCGGUGUCUCACUGCGGUCUGGGUUCACGUUUCCCUGAUGACUGAUGCGGUUGCGAGCAGGCAGGGUGUUUUAACGUUUGGGGGAAUGUCCGGUCCCAGAGAUCAUGGCGGCUGCUUCCGGGGCCAGGGCUGUCGGGGUGGAGGGCGGUGGGCCUGUGCUGUUUUUAUGCACUUGGGGGUUUUUCAACCAAAACCCGUAUCACUUCUCUAGUAAUCGUUUUUUUUUCAAAAUGCUUAGUUUUUAUAUAAACGUGUCAGAGCCGGAGUGGAGCUGAUUGAGCCAGUGUCCUGCCUGGAUAGUUCGCAGUGCGGGGCCAGACUGGAGGCUUCGUUCUGCCCCCCGUUAGAAGCUUGACAGUCCUCAGAAGUGAAUGUUCCCCCGCAACCCCUAGCUGUCUCUUUGUGCGUCGAGUCACACAGGAAUCCAGUUUAACUGUCGGACACGUGAGAAUGUUCGACUUUCUUACCGAGACACAGCCACUAGCCAACCACAGGAUGCGGUUCAGUGGGCUGGGUAGUGGCUCUGGUCUUAGAAUCUAGCCGCAGGCUUUGUGCGACCACAAGAUGCGCUCUGAGCCUGGUCCCGGUCCCUCCAGAAGCAGCUCCUCCCUCGGGCCAGGAAGGUGGCUGCUGGAGCUCCAGGCCUAAGGGCCUGUACUGCUGCUCUCCGCCUCUGGCUUCACUCCUACACGUUUUGGCCCCGAUACUGGCCGAAGUCGUUGGAGUUCACGACCGUGCAAGCGAGCACAGUCUUGGCCUGCGUGUGUGACACGGGCCAGGGACUCGGCCAGCUGCAGUGGUGUCCAGGUCACUUUUGGCUCUGUCUGUCCGGAACCGGGCCUCUCUCGUGUGAGGCCAGGUCCCGCCGCCUCCCACAGAAUUCAGUCGUUACCCACUCAGGGAUUUGCAGUAGCUCGGGAGGCUCUCCCGCUUCUCGCAUCUGAACACAGGAUUUCUCCCCUUCGGUCUUGUUAGGAGAGCAGCUGCACAAGGACAGGGGCCACGCCGGCCUUGUCUCGUCCUCCAUUGAAACUGCUCCAUUUUUCAAGAAGCCUAUUUCUUAAGACAGCUGUAUUUGUUAGGAGGUUUUACAUUUCAUUUCUUCUUUGAAAUGGAACUAAAAUCUGACCUCCCUAGAACUCAUUUCCGAUGGUCUUAGUUUUGCCUUUGCCAAAACUGAAUGCUUGACGAAUAUCACUUACUCGGAACUUUAUGUUUUAAUGUUUUAUGUUCUAAUGUUAGAAGAUCAGCCACUUAAAAUCUAAACCUGACAAUCCGUCAGGACUUGGCUGAAGUAAACCGUGGUAUGUGUAUACAGCAAAAUAUCGUAUAGCUUCAGAAUAAGCCAUAGAAAGACCCCUUGCCAUGCACGUGUGUUCCCGAUGUUACCCGUUCACUGGUUCAUGAAAACAGCCAUGGAGCCCCCUCUCCAGGCCGAACUCUGCAUCAGGAACCAGGAACACAAGGGCGAGUGGUAGCUGUGGCCGCUGAUCCCCAGGUGCCGGUCUCCGCCUUGGGGAGACCGUCACAAAUGAGUGUGCACGGUGUAAGCCUGUCACUUGUCAUAACGGAACUCAUUUCGUCUGAUGGUCAAAAGUCACCUUCUCUCGUCUGCAU